ACUUAUUAUAGGUCUGAAUGGAUGCUUUCUUAAGGCAAGAUUUGGAGGAUAUCUGCUCUCAACUAUAGGAAGAGAUGAUAAUGAUAAUAUUUUUUCUAUAACAAUGACUGUCAUAGAGCAAGAAAAUAAAGACUCAUAGAGUUGAUUUCUUCAUAUCUUUGCAAAUGGCAUAGGCUGGCUGGAUGAUGUCGGUUUAGUAUUUAUUUCGAAUAGACAGAAGAUAUAUGUUUCUUGCAAUAUCUUUUUGAUAUUUUUAUUUUAUUUUUUAUUUUACUUAUAUAUAAAAGUACUUAUAUUCUAGGAUCUGAUCCUUACAAUUGAGGAGCUAUUUCUUGAGAUGGAGCGUGGAUACUGUAUGAGACAC
rnacentral:lncRNA from 1 species